rnacentral:rRNA from 1 species
GACAGAGGGUGCAAACGUUGUUCGGAAUUACUGGGCGUAAAGCGAGUGUAGGCGGUUUGGAAAGUCGGAUGUGAAAGCCCCGGGCUCAACCCGGAAGUGCACUCGAUACUCCCAGCUAGAGUAUCGGAGAGGUUGGCGGAAUUCUCGGUGUAGAGGUGAAAUUCGUAGAUAUCGAGAGGAACACCGGCGGCGAAGGCGGCCAACUGGACGAAUACUGACGCUGAGACUCGAAAGCGUGGGGAGCAAACAGG